rnacentral:other from 1 species
GUUAUCCGCGGCAUUGCGCCGCGGCCUCAUUGAAGC